rnacentral:rRNA from 1 species
GAGUUUGAUCGUGGUUCAGAUUGAACGCUGGCGGCAUGCCUUACACAUGCAAGUCGAACGGCAGCACGGGAGCUUGCUCCUGGUGGCGAGUGGCGAACGGGUGAGUAAUGCAUCGGAACGUAUCCUGGAGUGGGGGAUAACGUAGCGAAAGUUACGCUAAUACCGCAUAUUCUGUGAGCAGGAAAGCGGGGGACCUUCGGGCCUCGCGCUCUUGGAGCGGCCGAUGUCGGAUUAGCUAGUUGGUGAGGUAAAGGCUCACCAAGGCGACGAUCCGUAGCAGGUCUGAGAGGAUGAUCUGCCACACUGGAACUGAGACACGGUCCAGACUCCUACGGGAGGCAGCAGUGGGGAAUUUUGGACAAUGGGGGCAACCCUGAUCCAGCCAUGCCGCGUGAGUGAAGAAGGCC